CCUACGGGAGGCUGCAGUGGGGAAUAUUGGACAAUGGGCGAAAGCCUGAUCCAGCCAUGCCGCGUGUGUGAAGAAGGCCUUCGGGUUGUAAAGCACUUUCAGUGGGGAAGAAAGCCUUGGGGCUAAUACCCUCGAGGAAGGACAUCACCCACAGAAGAAGCACCGGCUAACUCCGUGCCAGCAGCCGCGGUAAUACGGAGGGUGCGAGCGUUAAUCGGAAUUACUGGGCAUAAAGCGCGCGUAGGCGGUCUGAUAAGCCGGUUGUGAAAGCCCCGGGCUCAACCUGGGAACGGCAUCCGGAACUGUCAGGCUAGAGUGCAGGAGAGGAAGGUAGAAUUCCCGGUGUAGCGGUGAAAUGCGUAGAGAUCGGGAGGAAUACCAGUGGCGAAGGCGGCCUUCUGGACUGACACUGACGCUGAGGUGCGAAAGCGUGGGUAGCAAACAGGAUUAGAUACCCUAGUAGUC
rnacentral:rRNA from 1 species